CGCCCCUGGUGAUGGGCAGAGAGACACCUCAUUGGUGGUGUUGUCCUUAUAUCAGUCAGGACAGAGCACAUGGCGGGCCUUUGUUCAUCCUAGCCUGAUGCCUGCGUGGUGGCCAAAGCUGUCUUAUGCCCAGGACACCUCA